rfam:Paraburkholderia susongensis strain LMG 29540 genome assembly, contig: Ga0139082_119
CCCGUUUUUUGCUUGGGCUGAGUUCGACCACCGUUUGAGUUUUGAAAGCCUUCAUUGAUCAGCAUCGCGACACUUUCAGAGUCGAGCUGAUCUGCAAGGUCUUGAGGAUUGCCCAG